UACACCAAUACACAAUAUUUUGUGUUACCUUUGAACAGAAAUAGCGCAUUAUUCUACUAAAAGCAAUGGUAACUGAUGCAUAGGCCACAUUGUUGCUGAAUCACAUGUGACGUUGGCAAAGUGACACUCUGUUGUGAUCAAAUAAAAGAUCAAAUAAAAGUCAAAGAAUUUCAUGGCUAAGGGAACGGUGUAACAUGCCUGGCGAUUCCAUCUUAAGAGAGAGGGGACGACGGGGUUUGUAUGAACACUGAAAUGACUUGAGUGCUCCUCGACUAUCGCUAUCCCCACCCCCGCCUCGCAUCUAUAGGCUAGUCAAGCUUCCUAUAUAUCCACCAACAUGAACAUCGUGUGCUCUAUUCCCCUCACACGCAGGAGCACGCUGAAACACCACAGGCUCGGCAUAGUUCGAGGUCUCUGAGCAGACACCCCCCCUCACCACCUCCACCCCACCUGAAGAAGAGCACCCCCCUUGCUCUCAUCUGCACAGCCAUGAUCAUCAGACUGGGAAGACUCACCCCUGGAUACUUCCGCCUCCUCCAGAGGCAGGUGGCAGGAGAGGUGGCGAUGCAGCCGCAGGACCGCGCGGUGAACCAGGUGGCCAUGAUGCUGGCGAUCCUGGGCCUCAGCCUGUCCUACUACAGCGCCAAACAGAUGACCGAGAAGGUGCAGCGGCAACAUCAGGGUCCCACCCCCUGAACACGACCACGCACCCUUGACAUCCGGCCGGAGAUGGCCGGCGUGAAAAAAGCCAAUGACAGGAGGAGGAGGAGAGGAAGAUCACUGGAGGAAUGAAGAUGAUGAUGAUGCUGAUAAUAAUAAUCAUGAUUAUGACGUCCAGCACUUUUUGAAACCCUCACCCUCACACUGCUGACACCACAGUCACGUUUUUAAGACACUGGAGUUUUUUUUGUUUGUUCCACACACACAGACACAAGACACACAUGCGCGUCGCGUCGGGGUUGCUCGCCAGGUGGGCGGGUGAGUGUUCAGAGCGCAGGACAGGACACCUCUGAUGCGGCUUCUCAGUUAUAUAUUUUUUUGAAAGGAUUUUUGCCCCCUCUUCAUUAUUUCCAUGUCGGGUGAAGUCUUCAGGAGAGGAAAAGCAAAGGAAAAAUAAGACUGUGUGGGGUUCUAGUGAUGGCCUUGGGGGGGGUCCCUCUGGUCCUGUGAACUGGUGAAGGAGGGCAAAGAGACAGACACCCCCCUCAACACCCAUGUGCUUGUGUGACCUGAGUUUCAAUGGUUGCUGCAAACGGCUGUAGGUAUGUGGUAUGUGAACAUAGCAGUGCUGCUCCGGGGAGCGAUAGGGGUAGAAGUAAUGCAUGAGCCACCCCAGGCUGGCUUAGGGGGUGCAAUACGUGGGGAGAAUGAUUCCCAAUCUGGGGUGCUAUAUGAGGGGAAAGUGAUUCCCAAUCUGCCCAGUUAGUGGGGGAUUGCCCAUGCUUCGAGCCCAGGUAGUGUGGGGGUGGGCUUUAGUAGAUUCAGACAACGCAGCAACAUAACAUGGUGGCCAGGGUUGAAUAGGCCGAGCACCAAACGAAAGCAGGCACACAGGCAAGAUGGACGUUAAAAAACUGUGAAAACCCCCUAAACAAUGACUUUUAGUCCUCUCCCAUAUCCUUUUUUUCACUUUUCCCUUUUUUCCUGAGAAGCCUUACAGAGCCGUCUGAACUUGCGUUGGAGAAGAAGUCACCUAAUCAGACGUUUUUUGUUUUGUUUUUUUUUAACUCUGGGGAAAUGUUCCACACCACAGGCAAUGCAUUAUGGGAACUGUAGUGGAUCUAAAAAGGGACCGUUUGUUUCGUCACUACUGUUGAUCUUCUGUUUUACUGUUAACAGUGUUCUGCGUCACUAUAGACGAGUCGUAUAAAAUCUGUGGCUUAUUAGGGAUUUUAAGUAUAUCCUUGGCAAUAUCUCUUGUCUGUCUACCUUUCCAAUGUUGCAUGAAGAGCCUUUUUUCUUUUAUCUUUAGAAAGGAAAUAACUUUUUAAUCUUUUGUGCUGUCAUUAAGGACUUUUUAAAAAAAAGAAAAGCAUAAUGAUGACGAUGAAUGUAUGUUAUUUUUAAAGUGUUGAUUUUUGAAAUAAAGCUGUGAAUUUCUUUUGGACAAGA